rnacentral:rRNA from 1 species
AACGAACGCUGGCGGCAGGCUUAACACAUGCAAGUCGAACGCAUCCUUCGGGGUGAGUGGCAGACGGGUGAGUAACGCGUGGGAACGUGCCCUUCAGUUCGGGAUAACCCAGGGGAACUUGGGCUAAUACCGGAUACGUGCGAGAGCAGAAAGAUUUAUCGCUGAAGGAUCGGCCCGCGUCUGAUUAGCUAGUUGGUGGGGUAAUGGCCCACCAAGGCGACGAUCAGUAGCUGGUCUGAGAGGAUGAUCAGCCACAUUGGGACUGAGACACGGCCCAAACUCCUACGGGAGGCAGCAGUGGGGAAUAUUGGACAAUGGGCGCAAGCCUGAUCCAGCCAUGCCGCGUGAGUGAUGAAGGCCUUAGGGUUGUAAAGCUCUUUCGUCCGGGACGAUAAUGACGGUACCGGAAGAAGAAGCCCCGGCUAGCUUCGUGCCAGCAGCCGCGGUAA